CAGAGGUGUUACGGCACACAAUGUGGAAGAACAGAUUAACACUGGGUCUGUGGUUGCUCUGUAGUAGCCCACAUAGGAGUCCUUUAGACUGUGCUCAGACAUGAAUUCUUGUCAAGGAACAAAUAGUAAUUGCAAUGUAUCAGCAUUUGUUCACAAAGCCGCACAGCUGUCACUCGAGAUCAGACGUCACCACCUGUUGAUCGCAGCAAGUACAAGUGUCGACCUUUGUCAUUCUUGUCCUUCUGCCUCUUGCAGCCACUCUGUCCAGCUCUUCUGGAGUACUCACAGCAAGCUCUCCUUCAUAGACUCUGAGUUAUAACUUUGUGCAUUGUGUUUGUUUGGUUUAAGAGUUAUGUCUCUAACUAAAUUCUCAGCCCAGAAGAGAUGUCUUAAUUUCUCACUGUCACCGCAAGCCGUGCAUGCUGGGAAUGUUUGUUGAUGACGUAAGAUUUAGCUGUAUUCCCCUGGCCAGUAUUUAACCCAUGCUCUGGUCCAAGUUUCACCAUCUGGUGCUGCUCCCAAGCUGUGGUCCAGAGUUACUCAGGCUCUGUCUGGGCUCCAGCACAUUGAGAUGCUCCUAUUUUUAUUGUGUUCCUCUCUUCUUCCCCAGCUCAUGAACACUCUGGGGAAAGCCAUUCAUGAUAAAUUAAAUAGCUUCCCACCCUCCAAGUACCACAG
rnacentral:lncRNA from 1 species